rnacentral:rRNA from 1 species
AAAUGAAUAGACGGGGGCCCGCACAAGCGGAGGAACAUGUGGUUUAAUUCGAUGAUACGCGAGGAACCUUACCUGGGCUUAAAUGUAGAGUGCAUUAGGUGGAAACACUUAUUCCCUUCGGGGCUCUUUACAAGGUGCUGCAUGGUUGUCGUCAGCUCGUGCCGUGAGGUGUCGGGUUAAGUCCCAUAACGAGCGCAACCCCUAUCGUUAGUUGCCAGCGGGUAAAGCCGGGGACUCUAGCGAAACUGCCGGUGUAAACCGAGAGGAAGGUGGGGAUGACGUCAAAUCAGCACGGCCCUUAUGUCCAGGGCUACACACGUGUUACAAUGGCCAGUACAGUGGGCAGCUACCAUGUAAAUGGAUGCUAAUCUCCAAAGCUGGUCUCAGUUCGGAUUGGGGUCUGCAACUCGACCCCAUGAAGUUGGAUUCGCUAGUAAUCGUAUAUCAGCCAUGAUACGGUGAAUACGUUCCCGGGCCUUGUACACACCGCCCGU